GAGUAAUAUUUAUCUUUUCUAUUGAAGGAAAACUUGCUAUUAAUGAUACAUCAUUUGACUUCAGAAUUUCAUAGACCAGAUAAUGCAACAAGCGCUUGAAAUUUUAUUUCAGUAAUUUUAGAACUACAAUUCCCAGCAGUUUGCCUAAUCCAAGCUACCUGAAAACUGACAAUUUUUAGGUGGUUGAGAAGAUGGGGAAAUUCAGCAUAGCUACUAGGAAACUGACACCAGCUGCUUUGUCUUUUGAAAAUGCAAGUAGCACUGUCAACAAAUAAAUAGGCUCGUCAAUCAAGAAUUCGCUUGAUUCAGACGGGUGUUCAGUUGCUACUUGCUAGACGAGAUUGCAUCCACAUUGGCGUUCAGUCCUUGGAACCUCAGCUGCAAGCCUGCAUCAGAAGAUAAGCGGCGAAGCAGCUGUGCGAUAACCCCAUGCAACUCCGAAGCAGGCCCACGAACGCAACCACGAAUGCUGUCCCCACCAGGCCACCAAGCCUGCGCCCUCCGCCGUGACACUGUUAAAAAAAAUACAAAACGGGCAUUAGAUAGGGUAGAGUCUUAAGAAACAAUUACCAUCAACUUAAUUAUCUGGUGCACACCUUCUUGGGAGUUAGAAUUUGAUCAUCUUCCGCAUCGUAUUCACACUCAUUCUUAGUGUUAUCACUCUGAAUGAUCCGGAGGAAUUCGAGAUGUGGUUGUUGUAGCUUGUUCAUCUCCAAUAUCCCACGGAAUCGUCAAGCUGCGCCUGUCUAAUCGUCC
rnacentral:lncRNA from 1 species